GUGGUAUCCUGUCUGAAUAUGGGGGGACCAUCCUCCAAGGCUAAAUACUCCUGACUGACCGAUAGUGAACCAGUACCGUGAGGGAAAGGCGAAAAGAACCCCGGCGAGGGGAGUGAAAAAGAACCUGAAACCGUGUACGUACAAGCAGUGGGAGCACAGAGCAAUCUGUGUGACUGCGUACCUUUUGUAUAAUGGGUCAGCGACUUAUAUUCUGUAGCAAGGUUAACCGAAUAGGGGAGCCGAAGGGAAACCGAGUCUUAACUGGGCGUUAAGUUGCAGGGUAUAGACCCGAAACCCGGUGAUCUAGCCAUGGGCAGGUUGAAGGUUGGGUAACACUAACUGGAGGACCGAACCGACUAAUGUUGAAAAAUUAGCGGAUGACUUGUGGCUGGGGGUGAAAGGCCAAUCAAACCGGGAGAUAGCUGGUUCUCCCCGAAAGCUAUUUAGGUAGCGCCUCGUGAAUUCAUCUCCGGGGGUAGAGCACUGUUUCGGCAAGGGGGUCAUCCCGACUUACCAACCCGAUGCAAACUGCGAAUACCGGAGAAUGUUAUCACGGGAGACACACGGCGGGUGCUAACGUCCGUCGUGAAGAGGGAAACAACCCAGACCGCCAGCUAAGGUCCCAAAGUCAUGGUUAAGUGGGAAACGAUGUGGGAAGGCCCAGACAGCCAGGAUGUUGGCUUAGAAGCAGCCAUCAUUUAAAGAAAGCGUAAUAGCUCACUGGUCGAGUCGGCCUGCGCGGAAGAUGUAACGGGGCUAAACCAUGCACCGAAGCUGCGGCAGCGACGCUGAUGCGUUGUUGGGUAGGGGAGCGUUCUGUAAGCCUGUGAAGGUGUGCUGUGAGGCAUGCUGGAGGUAUCAGAAGUGCGAAUGCUGACAUAAGUAACGAUAAAGCGGGUGAAAAGCCCGCUCGCCGGAAGACCAAGGGUUCCUGUCCAACGUUAAUCGGGGCAGGGUGAGUCGACCCCUAAGGCGAGGCCGAAAGGCGUAGUCGAUGGGAAACAGGUUAAUAUUCCUGUACUUGGUGUUACUGCGAAGGGGGGACGGAGAAGGCUAUGUUGGCCGGGCGACGGUUGUCCCGGUUUAAGCGUGUAGGCUGGUUUUCCAGGCAAAUCCGGAAAAUCAAGGCUGAGGCGUGAUGACGAGGCACUACGGUGCUGAAGCAACAAAUGCCCUGCUUCCAGGAAAAGCCUCUAAGCAUCAGGUAACAUCAAAUCGUACCCCAAACCGACACAGGUGGUCAGGUAGAGAAUACCAAGGCGCUUGAGAGAACUCGGGUGAAGGAACUAGGCAAAAUGGUGCCGUAACUUCGGGAGAAGGCACGCUGAUAUGUAGGUGAAGUCCCUCGCGGAUGGAGCUGAAAUCAGUCGAAGAUACCAGCUGGCUGCAACUGUUUAUUAAAAACACAGCACUGUGCAAACACGAAAGUGGACGUAUACGGUGUGACGCCUGCCCGGUGCCGGAAGGUUAAUUGAUGGGGUCAGCGCAAGCGAAGCUCUUGAUCGAAGCCCCGGUAAACGGCGGCCGUAACUAUAACGGUCCUAAGGUAGCGAAAUUCCUUGUCGGGUAAGUUCCGACCUGCACGAAUGGCGUAAUGAUGGCCAGGCUGUCUCCACCCGAGACUCAGUGAAAUUGAACUCGCUGUGAAGAUGCAGUGUACCCGCGGCAAGACGGAAAGACCCCGUGAACCUUUACUAUAGCUUGACACUGAACAUUGAGCCUUGAUGUGUAGGAUAGGUGGGAGGCUUUGAAGUGUGGACGCCAGUCUGCAUGGAGCCGACCUUGAAAUACCACCCUUUAAUGUUUGAUGUUCUAACGUUGACCCGUGAUCCGGGUUGCGGACAGUGUCUGGUGGGUAGUUUGACUGGGGCGGUCUCCUCCUAAAGAGUAACGGAGGAGCACGAAGGUUGGCUAAUCCUGGUCGGACAUCAGGAGGUUAGUGCAAUGGCAUAAGCCAGCUUGACUGCGAGCGUGACGGCGCGAGCAGGUGCGAAAGCAGGUCAUAGUGAUCCGGUGGUUCUGAAUGGAAGGGCCAUCGCUCAACGGAUAAAAGGUACUCCGGGGAUAACAGGCUGAUACCGCCCAAGAGUUCAUAUCGACGGCGGUGUUUGGCACCUCGAUGUCGGCUCAUCACAUCCUGGGGCUGAAGUAGGUCCCAAGGGUAUGGCUGUUCGCCAUUUAAAGUGGUACGCGAGCUGGGUUUAGAACGUCGUGAGACAGUUCGGUCCCUAUCUGCCGUGGGCGCUGGAGAACUGAGGGGGGCUGCUCCUAGUACGAGAGGACCGGAGUGGACGCAUCACUGGUGUUCGGGUUGUCAUGCCAAUGGCACUGCCCGGUAGCUAAAUGCGGAAGAGAUAAGUGCUGAAAGCAUCUAAGCACGAAACUUGCC
rnacentral:rRNA from 1 species